UUCGAAGCAACGCGAAGAACCUUACCAGGUCUUGACAUCCCGAUGCUAUUUCUAGAGAUAGAAAGUUACUUCGGUACAUCGGUGACAGGUGGUGCAUGGUUGUCGUCAGCUCGUGUCGUGAGAUGUUGGGUUAAGUCCCGCAACGAGCGCAACCCCUAUUGUUAGUUGCCAUCAUUCAGUUGGGCACUCUAGCGAGACUGCCGGUAAUAAACCGGAGGAAGGUGGGAUGACGUCAAAUCAUCAUGCCCCUUAUGACCUGGGCUACACACGUGCUACAAUGGUUGGUACAACGAGUUGCGAGUCGGUGACGGCGAGCUAAUCUCUUAAAGCCAAUCUCAGUUCGGAUUGUAGGCUGCAACUCGCCUACAUGAAGUCGGAAUCGCUAGUAAUCGCGGAUCAGCACGCCGCGGUGAAUACGUUCCCGGGCCUU
rnacentral:rRNA from 1 species